UACGUAGGGGGCUAGCGUUGUCCGGAAUCAUUGGGCGUAAAGCGCGCGUAGGCGGCCAGAUAAGUCCGGUGUGAAAGUCACAGGCUCAACCUGUGAAUGCCGCUGGAAACUGUCUGGCUAGAGUCCGGAAGGGGCGAGUGGAAUUCCUGGUGUAGCGGUGAAAUGCGCAGAUAUCAGGAGGAACACCAAUGGCGAAGGCAGGUCUCUGGGCCACAACUGACGCUGAGGAGCGAAAGCGUGGGGAGCGAACAGG
rnacentral:rRNA from 1 species